UUCAAAGCUCCUUCGAUAAAAAUCUUCGACCAUAACAUGUCAUCAAAUACUUAGCAUUUUGUGAUGAAAUUAGAAUUGUUGCUAAUACCUCCAUAAAUUGCGACAAGAUAUUUUGUCAAAAAACGUGAAAAAAAAUAGCACAUCUACUUUUGUCACAAAGUUAUUUUAUGCUAUGAAAGUGAUUUUUGUUUUCAUGGCGAAAAUACUUUUGUCAUUGAAUGUUAUGGCAACGAAGGUUCUAUGGACGACAAGACUGUUCCGUAGUUAAGCUUGUCUUUUUAUUUAAUUUCAAGUAUAUCUAAGUCUGACAGUAGAUUCUUUGUUGUACAAUGUCAAUGUUUUCUAUUGUUAUUGCUAGAGAUGCUUAGUUUUGGAAAUUAACAUGUUUUCCGAAGCUGAAGAUAUGAGUUUUUAACUAAAAGAAUGAACGCACACGGACAAAGGCGGCAUCCAAGUAGGCGAUGCCGAUCUCCAGCGGGGCACCCCCGAUCGGAGCCCCCGCGGAGCCGACCAAAUCCACCGGGGAAGCGUGGCGCCGCCGUGUAGAAAGUUGCCCGCGUUCUGUAUGAAGAUAUGACGCAAAGAACGAGGGGGAUUAUAUAGGAGAAGAAUGGGAGAUGGAGAGGGGAGUUUCCGGGGAAGGAGGCGGCGAUGGGGCUUACGAUGGAGGGACGGUCACGGAGCAGAG
rnacentral:lncRNA from 1 species